rnacentral:rRNA from 1 species
GAUGAACGCUGACAGAAUGCUUAACACAUGCAAGUCUACUUGAACUUCGGUUUGGGUGGCGGACGGGUGAGUAACGCGUAAAGAACUUGCCUCACAGUUAGGGACAACAUUUGGAAACGAAUGCUAAUACCUGAUAUUAUGAUUUUAGGGCAUCCUAAGAUUAUGAAAGCUAUAUGCGCUGUGAGAGAGCUUUGCGUCCCAUUAGCUAGUUGGAGAGGUAACGGCUCACCAAGGCGAUGAUGGGUAGCCGGCCUGAGAGGGUGAACGGCCACAAGGGGACUGAGACACGGCCCUUACUCCUACGGGAGGCAGCAGUGGGGAAUAUUGGACAAUGGACCAAAAGUCUGAUCCAGCAAUUCUGUGUGCACGAUGACGUUUUUCGGAAUGUAAAGUGCUUUCAGUUGGGAAGAAAAAAAUGACGGUACCAACAGAAGAAGUGACGGCUAAAUACGUGCCAGCAGCCGCGGUAAUACGUAUGUCACAAGCGUUAUCCGGAUUUAUUGGGCGUAAAGCGCGUCUAGGUGGUUAUGUAAGUCUGAUGUGAAAAUGCAGGGCUCAACUCUGUAUUGCGUUGGAAACUGCGUGACUAGAGUACUGGAGAGGUAAGCGGAACUACAAGUGUAGAGGUGAAAUUCGUAGAUAUUUGUAGGAAUGCCGAUGGGGAAGCCAGCUUACUGGACAGAUACUGACGCUAAAGCGCGAAAGCGUGGGUAGCAAACAGG